UAAUCUUUUUGCGUGUCAGUUUGCUGCUACGUACAAUGUGAACCGCAAUAGUAGUGGUGGUAAUAGCCUCGACACAGUGUCUGAUUAUUGGAAAAAUCUGCUUGAGAGGUUCCAACUCCGUGUGCCGAGAACUUAUCCUCGUACUCCUAUUACUCCGCUGUGCCCGCCCUUUCGCAAAACAACUCUGGGUGCCAACUCAUUGGUACCGAGGUUAUCUAGACUCCUUAACGAAACUAAAAUCGACGUCUUUGCCGACUCAUUUACCAAGCUCAGACGGGAAUUGUGCGAGACAUGGACGAAUUAUUGUUAAGAUGGCUACUUCUUAUGUAUGAUUGGUGACUGUUGAUUUUUAUACAUUUUAAAUAUGUUUUUUUUUUUAUAUUGGAA